rnacentral:precursor_RNA from 1 species
CUGGAAUAAAAAAUGGGCAAUCCUGAGCCAAAUCCCGUUUUAUGAAAACAAAACAAACAGGGGUUCAGAAAAUGAUAAAAGGGAUAGGUGCAGAGACUCAAUGGAAGCUGUUCUAACAAAUGGAGUUGACUUCCUUUUUUUGUUUUGGUAAAAAUGAAUACUUCUAUCGAAUAUCGAAACUCCAUAAAGGAUGAAGGUUAAAUCUAUAUACAUUAUGGAUAUGAAAUGAAAAACUAUCUCAAAAAUAACAACCCAAAUCUGUAUUUAUGUUAAUGAAAAAAAAAAAGCAAAAGAAUUGUUGUGAAUCGCUUACAAGUUAAAGAAAGAAUCGAAUAUUCAUUGAUCAAAUCAUUUACUCCAUAAUCUGGUAGAUCGUUUCUUUUGAAGAACUGAUUAAUCGGACGAGAAUAAAGAUAGAGUCCCAUUCUACAUGUCAAUAUCAAUACCGGCAACAAUGAAAUUUAUAGUAAGAGGAAAAUCCGUCGACUUUAGAAAUCGUGAGGGUUCAAGUCCCUCUAUCCCCAAAAAAGGCCGAUUUGCCUCCCUAAUUCUCCCACCCUUUCUUUUUUUAGUAGUUCAAAAUUCGUUAUGUUUCUCAUUCAUCCUCCUUUUUUACAAACGUAUCCGAGCAAAAUUUGUUUUUUCUCUUAUCACAAUCACAAAAGGUGUGGUAUAUAUGAUAUAUGUACAAAUGAACGCUCGUGAGCAAAGAAUUCCGCUUCACAAUACAUAUGAUUGCUCAUACUGAAACUUACAAAGUUUUCUUUUUGAAGAUUCAAGAGAUGAAUUCCUCGUUCAAGACUUUUAAUACUUUUUUCAUCUUUUUUAAUUGACAUAGACCCCAGUCAUUUAGUAAAAUGAGGAU